AGCCCGGGGUCCCGGAGCAGCCCGCUAGGCGGUGGCGGUGGCGGCGGCGAGGAGGGGGCGUCGGGCGCGGAGCCUGGGCCUGGCGCGGGGCGGGGGUGGCGGGGACCUCGGGGCGGGGCGCGCUGACGGACGCGGCCAGUGCCAUGCUCACCACACCAACUUCUAACAGCAGCCACAAUCCGCCAGCCACCGAUGUCAAUCAGAACCCACCGGCAACUGUUGUCCCACAGAGCCUGCCACUUUCUAGCAUCCAACAGAAUUCCUCAGAGGCCCAACUCCCAUCUAAUGGCACAGGGCCUGCUUCCAAACCCAGCACCCUGUGUGCUGAUGGGCAACCCCAGGCACCGGCUGAGGAGGUGAGAUGCAGCACACUCCUAAUUGACAAGGUAUCAACUCCAGCUACCACCACCAGCACCUUCUCCAGAGAAGCUACGCUCAUCCCCAGCUCCAGGCCCCCAGCCUCAGAUUUCAUGUCCAGCUCCCUGCUCAUUGACAUCCAGCCCAACACCCUAGUGGUGUCAGCAGAUCAAGAGAUGUCUGGGCGAGCA
rnacentral:sRNA from 1 species